AUUUUCAUUUUCCUAAUUAUUGGUUAAUAAAAAAUCGUCUGCACCGCCGCCUUCUCCGUCGACCGGAUCCGGCGAGCUCUCCGACAUCGUAGGCAUCUAGCGCCGAAGGAGCAGGGUCUGUGGUUGGGGACCCCGAUCGAUCUCGCCAUCGACGGAGAUGGUGUCGAUCCGAAUCUGGAACAGGUCAAAGGCCGAGGAGGCGGUGGAGAAGUUCGUCGUCGUGGCGGACGAGACGAAGCUAGUUUGGCGAUGCCGGUGGAGCUACAAUCUGAUCAGAUGGAAUUUGGCUGAGAACCGAUGGAGAUGGGAAACCCUACGUGACGGAUAACAGCUAUUACAUCGUGGUCUGUUUUAGGAUCUUUCCACUGGUGAAUAUGAAGAUGAAGAUGUGGAGGAUCAGUUACAUGAUGCCACCGACUCCUCCUCAUCCGAUGAAGGGGAAAGUGAUGACGGAACAAGAAGGUAGCUUGGUUUUAGCUUUCUUCUCAUAUGCAAAAGAUUCCAUUGCUCCAAUGUUAACAGGAGAUAAAAGUGAAACUGAAGAAUAUAUCCUGGGCAAUUGCGAGCUUAUCUUUGAAGC